rnacentral:rRNA from 1 species
GAUCAUGGCUCAGGAUGAACGCUAGCUACAGGCUUAACACAUGCAAGUCGAGGGGCAGCGGGAAGUCAGCUUGCUGACUUUGCCGGCGACCGGCGCACGGGUGAGUAACACGUAUCCAACCUUCCCGUUACUCUGGAAUAGCCUUUCGAAAGAAAGAUUAAUACCGGAUAGUAUCGAGAGAUUGCAUGAUAACCCGAUUAAAGAUUCAUCGGUAACGGAUGGGGAUGCGUUCCAUUAGGCUAGG